rnacentral:rRNA from 1 species
AUUGAACACUAGCGGGAUGCCUUACACAUGCAAGUCGAACGGAGUGGCGAACGGGUGAGUAAUGUAUCGGAACGUGCCCAGUAGCGGGGGAUAACUACGCGAAAGCGUAGCUAAUACCGCAUACUAUUGGAGCGGCCGAUCUCGGAUUAGCUAGUUGGUGGGGGACCGGCUCACCAAGGCGAAGAUCCGUAGCUGGUUUGAGAGGACGACCAGCCCCACUGGGACUGAGACACGGCCCAGAUUCCUACGUGAGGCAGCAGUGGGGAAUUUUGGACAAUGUGGGAAACCCGUACACAGCCAUCCCGCGUGUGCGAUGAAGGCCUUCGGGUUGUAAAGCACUUUUGGCAGGAAAGCGGUACCUGCAGAAUAAGCACCGGCUAACUACGUGCCAGCAGCCGCGGUAAUAC